GUCAGCUCGUGCCGUGAGGUGUUGGGUUAAGUCCCGCAACGAGCGCAACCCUCGUCGUUAGUUGUACUUUUCUAGCGAGACUGCCGAGAGAAACUCGGAGGAAGGUGAGGAUGAUGUCAAGUCAGCAUGGCCCUUACGUCCCGGGCUACAAACACGCUACAAUGGCUGGUACAGAGGGCGGCGAGCCGGCGACGGUUAGCGAAUCCCAAAAAGCCAGUCCCAGUUCGGAUUGCAGGCUGCAAUUCGCCUGCAUGAAGUUGGAGUUGCUAGUAACCGCAGGUCAGCAUACUGCGGUGAAUACGUUCUCGGGCCUUGUACACACCGCCCGUCAUGCCAUGGGAGUCUGUAAUACCUGAAGACGGUGAGCUAACCCUUCUUGGGAGGCAGCUGUCUAAGGUGGGACAGGCGACUGGGGCAAAGUCGUAACAAGGUAGCCGUACCGGAAGGUGCGGCUGGAUCACCUCCUUU
rnacentral:rRNA from 1 species